rnacentral:tRNA from 1 species
GGAGUGAUACCCAAGAGGCCGAAGGGGCUCCCCUGCUAAGGGAGUAGGUGUCUAAACAACACGCGAGGGUUCAAAUCCCUCUCACUCCGCCA